rnacentral:rRNA from 1 species
UACGUAGGGGGCUAGCGUUGUCCGGAUUUAUUGGGCGUAAAGAGCGUGUAGGCGGCCAGAUAGGUCUGCUGUGAAAACUCGAGGCUCAACCUCGAGAUGUCGGCGGAAACCAUUUGGCUAGAGUCCGGAAGAGGAAAGUGGAAUUCCUGGUGUAGCGGUGAAAUGCGCAGAUAUCAGGAGGAACACCAAUGGCGAAGGCAGCUCGCUGGGACGUGACUGACGCUGAGACGCGAAAGCGUGGGGAGCAAACAGG